rnacentral:rRNA from 1 species
GACGAACGCUGGCGGCGUGCUUGACACAUGCAAGUCGAACGAAGAGCGAUGGAAGCUUGCUUCUAUCAAUCUUAGUGGCGAACGGGUGAGUAACGCGUAAUCAACCUGCCCUUCAGAGGGGGACAACAGUUGGAAACGACUGCUAAUACCGCAUACGAUCUAAACUCGGCAUCGAGGAUAGAUGAAAGGUGGCCUCUACAUGUAAGCUAUCACUGAAGGAGGGGAUUGCGUCUGAUUAGCUAGUUGGAGGGGUAACGGCCCACCAAGGCGAUGAUCAGUAGCCGGUCUGAGAGGAUGAACGGCCACAUUGGGAAUGAGACACGGCCCAGACUCCUACGGGAGGCAGCAGUGGGGAAUCUUCCGCAAUGGACGAAAGUCUGACGGAGCAACGCCGCGUGAGUGAUGACGGCCUUCGGGUUGUAAAGCUCGGUUAAUCGGGACGAAAGGCCUUCUUGCGAAUAGUGAGAAGGAUUGACGGUACCGGAAUAGAAAGCCACGGCUAACUACGUG